CCCUUUGAAAUGAGGAUUAGAGGGAACUGAACCACUGAUGAAGAUCAUACGGUUCAGUUUCCUCUAAUAUCUCACCUUGAAUGG
rnacentral:pre_miRNA from 1 species